GGGAGGUCCGUGGUGCCGGCGCUGAGCCCCCAAUGGCCUCAAUGGCUCCUUCUUGUCCAUGCCCAGGUCUGCGGGCGGCCGUGACGCUGGAGGAGACCGGAGGCGGCCUCCAAAGCCCCGGGGGCUCCAUGAGGCUCCUCUGCAAGGCCUCGGGCUUCACCUUCGGCAGCUACGGCAUGGGAUGGAUGCGCCAAGCACCGGGGCAGGGGCUCGAGUUCGUCGCAAGCAUUAACAGUGGUGGUGGCACCACCAGAUACGGGGCAUCGGUGCAGGGCCGAGCCACCAUCACCAGGGACAACUCCCAGGGCACGGUCACGCUGCAGAUGAGCGGCCUCACGGCGCAGGACACGGCCACUUACUACUGCGUGAAGGGUAAUGAUGGUUAUGGUGAUGGUGAUGGUGGUGAUGGUGGUUAUGGUUAUGGUGGUGAUGGUUAUAGUGGUGAUGGUUAA